GUCUCUGAAGAGGAUCAUAUUCUUCAUAUCCUUACUGGUCUUGGCUUCGAGUAUGAUCCCGUUAUGGUCACGGUCACCUCGAGGGGUAGUUGGACUGUUCCAGACGUGAGCGCCCUCUUGUUGAGCUUUGAAU